rnacentral:rRNA from 1 species
GACGAACGCUGGCGGCGUGCUUAACACAUGCCAGUCGAACGGAAAGGCCCUGCUUUUGUGGGGUGCUCGAGUGGCGAACGGGUGAGUAACACGUGAGUAACCUGCCCUUGACUUUGGGAUAACUUCAGGAAACUGGGGCUAAUACCGGAUAGGAGUUCCUGCUGCAUGGUGGGGGUUGGAAAGUUUCGGCGGUUGGGGAUGGACUCGCGGCUUAUCAGCUUGUUGGUGGGGUAGUGGCUUACCAAGGCUUUGACGGGUAGCCGGCCUGAGAGGGUGACCGGCCACAUUGGGACUGAGAUACGGCCCAGACUCCUACGGGAGGCAGCAGUGGGGAAUAUUGCACAAUGGGCGGAAGCCUGAUGCAGCAACGCCGCGUGCGGGAUGACGGCCUUCGGGUUGUAAACCGCUUUCGCCUGUGACGAAGCGUGAGUGACGGUAAUGGGUAAAGAAGCACCGGCUAACUACGUG